UACGGAGGGUGCGAGCGUUGUCCGGAAUCAUUGGGCGUAAAGGGCUCGUAGGUGGCCAACUAAGUCGGACGUGAAAUCCCUCGGCUUAACCGGGGAACUGCGUCCGAUACUGGUUGGCUUGAGUUUGGGAGAGGGAUGCGGAAUUCCAGGUGUAGCGGUGAAAUGCGUAGAUAUCUGGAGGAACACCGGUGGCGAAGGCGGCAUCCUGGACCGGUAUUGACGCUGAGGCGCGAAAGCCAGGGGAGCAAACGGG
rnacentral:rRNA from 1 species